UACGUAGGGGGCAAGCGUUGUCCGGAUUUAUUGGGCGUAAAGAGCGUGUAGGCGGCUUGACAGGUCUGCUGUGAAAACUCGAGGCUCAACCUCGAGAUGUCGGCGGAAACCGUCUGGCUAGAGUCCGGAAGAGGAGAGUGGAAUUCCUGGUGGAGCGGUGAAAUGCGCAGAUAUCAGGAAGAACACCUAUGGCGAAGGCAGCUCUCUGGGACGGUACUGACGCUGAGACGCGAAAGCGUGGGGAGCGAACAGG
rnacentral:rRNA from 1 species